CAGAGACGACUAGUUCUUCACCCCAAACUCAUUGCCUUUCCUUCCGGGGCACCUGUCGGCCCACAUUUCCCAGCCCACUUUGCAGUUGAGUGUGCUCAUGUGACUGAGCUACGGCCAAUGGGAUGCAAGCGGAAGUGACGUCCACCAAGUCCAGCUGCAGAUGAUCCCAUCCUGCCUGCACAGCUUCUCCAGGGGAGAUAGACACACAGAAGCCCACGAGAGUCAAAUAAGAGCCAUACCUUCCAGUGCCCAGCAGCAGCAUAGUACACCUAAAGGUGCUGCACUCUUGAUGUGGAUGCUGAUGAAAAGGAGAGUAGAAAUAAUAACAAUAUGUUUCGACGGGGCAUGGUGGCUCAUGCCUGUAACCCCAGCACUUCGAGAGGCCAAGGCAAGAAGACCACUUGAGCCCAGGAAUUUGAGACCAGCCUGGGCCACAUAGUGAGAUCUCAUGUCUACAAAAAAUAAGCAAAAAUUAUCUGGGCAUGGUGGCAUGCACCUGUAGUCCUAGGUACUCAGGAGGCCGAGGUGAGAGGAUCACUGGAGCCUGGGAGAUUGAGGCUGCAGUGGCCCACGAUCAUGCCACUGAACUCCAGCCUGGGAGACAGAGCAAGACCCCAUCUCAAAAAAAAUGUGCCUGGGACCUUAUCUCAAAAAAACAACAAAAAACCCAAUAUGUUUUUUGUUACCUCCUUUGUGCCAGGCUCUGAAUUAAGCAUUCUAUGUGUGUUAUUUUAUCUACACUUUACAACUCCCCUACCAGACAGAUAAUAGUCUAGUCUCAUUUUAUAGAUGAAGAAACCGAGGUUCAUGGAGUUACAGCAUGACCCAUGCCACACAAUAAGUGUAUGAAAGGGCAGCAAAUUAAACCCUUGACUCUGAAGCCCAUGGUUUUAACCAUGGCUCUUUAUCCUCUCUCAUAGUUGCACACAUAUGACUAGAAAGGGACUCCAUUUUCCAGUGGAAAGUUGGCGGUCUGGGGGAGAAGUGGUA
rnacentral:lncRNA from 10 species